AUCUCAGGCUGGGGGGGCACUUCAUAUGGGGGUCCCUUUCCUCUCCAAUAAGGUGUGCAGCACUCCGGGGGUCUACCAUCAAUAUAUCCCCCGGGAUGAUCUGUGCAGGUUACCUGGAGGGAGAAACAGACUCCUCCCAGGGGAACAGCGGGGGCCCUCUGGCCUGUGAGGACUCGUCAGUAUGGAAGCUGGUAGAGGCCAUUAGCUGGGGCCAGGGCCGUGUCGACAGGAACAAGCCUGGGGUGUACACUCGAGUCACCCCAGUCCCUCAAAUGGAUCCACCAACAGAUGGAGUUCUCCUGGUUUUGACCAUUCUGCCUGCCCUGACCCUGCCUGCUGUUCUGUACCUUGUGACACUGCCCAGGUGUACUGACCUCUGCCUGCCCUUGACCUGUCGUUUGCCUGCCUCCUGUUUUUGUAAUACACUUUGUUACUUCGAACUGUCUGCAUCUGGGUCUUCGCCUGAGCCGUGAUAGUAUGAACUGGCCACAAUGAGCGCCGGAGAGAGGGAGCGGGAGUAGAUGUGACACACUCAGUCAGUAAGUCACUUAGGUAGUCAGUCAGUCACUUAGUCAGUCAGUCACUUAGUCAGUCACUUAGUCAGUCACUUAGUCAGUCAGUCAGUCACUUAGUCAGUCAGUCACUUAGUCAGUCAGUC
rnacentral:lncRNA from 1 species